rnacentral:rRNA from 1 species
UACAAGGUUGAUAGGCGGGAUGUGUAAGCGUUGUGAGACGUUCAGCUGACCCGUACUAAUAGGCCGAGGGCUUGACCUC